rnacentral:rRNA from 1 species
GAUGAACGCUUUCUACAGGCUUAACACAUGCAAGUCGAGGGGCAGCAUGGUCUUAGCUUGCUAAGGCCGAUGGCGACCGGCGCACGGGUGAGUAACACGUAUCCAACCUGCCGUCUACUCUUGGAUAGCCUUCUGAAAGGAAGAUUAAUACAAGAUGGCAUCAUGAGUCCGCAUGUUCACAUGAUUAAAGGUAUUCCGGUAGACGAUGGGGAUGCGUUCCAUUAGAUAGUAGGCGGGGUAACGGCCCACCUAGUCUUCGAUGGAUAGGGGUUCUGAGAGGAAGGUCCCCCCCAUUGGAACUGAGACACGGUCCAAACUCCUACGGGAGGCAGCAGUGAGGAAUAUUGGUCAAUGGGCGAGAGCCUGAACCAGCCAAGUAGCGUGAAGGAUGACUGCCCUAUGGGUUGUAAACUUCUUUUAUAAAGGAAUAAAGUCGGGUAUGGAUACCCGUUUGCAUGUACUUUAUGAAUAAGGAUCGGCUAACUCCGUGCCAGCAGCCGCGGUAAUACGGAGGAUCCGAGCGUUAUCCGGAUUUAUUGGGUUUAAAGGGAGCGUAGAUGGAUGUUUAAGUCAGUUGUGAAAGUUUGCGGCUCAACCGUAAAAUUGCAGUUGAUACUGGAUAUCUUUGAGUGCAGUUGAGGCAGGCGGAAUUCGUGGUGUAGCGGUGAAAUGCUUAGAUAUCACGAAGAACUCCGAUUGCGAAGGCAGCCUGCUAAGCUGCAACUGACAUUGAGGCUCGAAAGUGUGGGUAUCAAACAGGAUUAGAUACCCUGGUAGUCCACACGGUAAACGAUGAAUACUCGCUGUUUGCGAUAUACUGCAAGCGGCCAAGCGAAAGCGUUAAGUAUUCCACCUGGGGAGUACGCCGGCAACGGUGAAACUCAAAGGAAUUGACGGGGGCCCGCACAAGCGGAGGAACAUGUGGUUUAAUUCGAUGAUACGCGAGGAACCUUACCCGGGCUUAAAUUGCAGAUGAAUUACGGUGAAAGCCGUAAGCCGCAAGGCAUCUGUGAAGGUGCUGCAUGGUUGUCGUCAGCUCGUGCCGUGAGGUGUCGGCUUAAGUGCCAUAACGAGCGCAACCCUUGUUGUCAGUUACUAACAGGUUUUGCUGAGGACUCUAACAAGACUGCCAUCGUAAGAUGUGAGGAAGGUGGGGAUGACGUCAAAUCAGCACGGCCCUUACGUCCGGGGCUACACACGUGUUACAAUGGGGGGUACAGAGGGCCGCUACCACGCGAGUGGAUGCCAAUCCCCAAAACCUCUCUCAGUUCGGACUGGAGUCUGCAACCCGACUCCACGAAGCUGGAUUCGCUAGUAAUCGCGCAUCAGCCACGGCGCGGUGAAUACGUUCCCGGGCCUUGUACACACCGCCCGUCAAGCCAUGGGAGCCGGGGGUACCUGAAGUGCGUAACCGCGAGGAGCGCCCUAGGGUAAAACUGGUGACUGGGGC